CCACACACUUUACAGAACACACUUUACAGAACACAAACCUAUAUGUCAAAAGCCGGCCGCCCCUUUCUCGAUCUGGUUCACGAUUCGGAGGCAACAACGCAGGAGGAAGCUCCACCGCCUGUUGCCGAGGAGAAGCCACCGAAGAAGGAAGAAGAUAAGAAAUCAGAGCAAGGAGAUGAAGAGAAAGCCGGCCACCCCCUUUCUCUCAGACCGUCCAAGCCGUCAUUCCUCUUUCUCUCUAAGCCCCACCCUUCUACCGAAGCCACUGAGGGUUGAAUCGAUGGUCAGCGCAGCGUUAGAGUCGAGAAGAUAGCGGCACAGCUGAUUGGCGUCGAGAUUGAACAAGGAUUCGCCCCUUUCUCCAAUCCCUAACCCUAGCUCCCUCUCUCAUUCGAAGCCCUAAAUUCGAAGGACACGAAUUGAGGGUUUGGUAGUGCUGUAGCAGGAAGAGGAAUCAAACUGAAAUGGAGCAAUUUGAUGCCUCAAAGGAUUCGUCAAUGGGUGUAGUAGGUGAUUCUCAGUUUGCUUGAACAGAAAAAGGCUGCAAUUCGCCUUGGGGUCCCACAAAACUCCAGGUACUCUCCCGCAUUUUCUCUAUCUUCUCGAUCCUUGUUUGUGUGUAUGUGUGUGUUUUGGUGAUCAAUAAUUUUAUUCAUACACGACCAUUUUUGUUUGCCUAAUAAGUUAUACCAUUUGCUUGGAGGAUAUGGGUUGUUCUUUAUUUCACGAUUGUACAUAUUUGUGAUGUAUGUUACAAUUGUCCUUGGGCUUUGUUAUCAUAUACAGAGUCUCUGUUUCUUUUUCAUACUUUGAUAUUCAAAUUUAAUUUCUAUACUGGGAUUUCACUUAAUUUUGACUAUAAUGAAAAUGUUGCUGAUGCCGAUUGCAGUUGGCUGAAAUUUUUGUGUGAUUGGUUGUAGUUUUUUUUUUUUUUUUUUUUCUUCGGCAGGAAAAUACUAGUUUCAUUCCUUAUGAUGAUAAUGGUUGUUCACAAUUAGAGUUUUUCCUUUAAAAGUAUGAUGCUUUGUUUGAAAUUGAUAGAAUACUGGAUAAAAAAUGAACAAUUAGAAUCUUAUGUCUGGUUCGGAUCUGUGGUCUUUGUAGGAUUCAAAAGUUUUGUUUUCUGAAGAUAUUUCAAUGAUUACGAAAACACAAAAUUCAUGAAUUUCAAAACCCAUAAUCUGCUUGAAUUUAAAGCAAAAUUCAAAAAUCUAGUGUGCUUCCAGAUAGCAGUAGAUAGGGCAUCUGAAUUUUUUUUUUUUUUUUUUUUUUUGCGCACUUAUCUAGUUUAGUGUAUAAAUCAGUUUUUCAUCAUAUAUAUAUAUAUAUAUAUAUAUAUAUAUAUAUAUAUCCAUAGCUAUAUAUCUCUUAUUGCUCAUCUAUCUUUGAUAAGGAUAUCAAGUUUAAUAAAGUAUUGGAUGAUUAUAUAAUGCAUGUCUCCUAUAGUUAUCACAUUUUUUAAUGGUACUGAUCCAUGAUGUGUUAGUGUUCUUCAUUUCAAUAAAUUCAGGAAGAAUAUAUAGAUCCAACCAUAUUAAUUAUAUGUAUGUUUAAUGUAUAUAUAUGUGGUUGUUACCAAAUUAUAUAUAUCAGUCGAUCAAUGUAUGGAAUAUAAUUGUUUCCACCAAACAUUCCAAAAGGGAUUUGAGUUAAUUCCUACAAAAUUCAUGAACGAGUACUAUAUUGUUAUAUAAAUGGAAAUAUAAUUUAUUAUGUAUCCAAAAGUUAUACAUUUAUGUUGCAUUACAUGUAAAUUUUUACUAGUGUGCAUACAUGUGUAUGUGAAUAUUGUAAGUUAUAUGGUCUUUAUGUGCGAUAAAAUUCUUUUAUGAUUGCACAAUUUUAAUGCUUUUUAUACUCAUACUAAGGGGGGUCACGUGCCUUUAAGUGACCAAUUUUGCGGUGUAUCUUGAAUUUAAUUACCUUAUUGGUACAUCGGUCUGUGUGGAGGCCAUUUUUAUUUCUUGUUUUAAAAUGUUGAAAGCAUGGGAGUAUGGGAUCAUUUUAUGUGGAGGUUUUGAUUGAUUGUUGUGGAGAAGUUGUUGAUAUGUUGUCUAUAACUUUACUUAAAUUUUUUAGUUUUACAUGGAAUAGUAGUUUACUUAAAUUUUUUACUUUUACAUGGAAUAGUAGUUUGUCUUUGCAUGAAAAUUUUGAAGCCUUUCCAUCUAUUAUUGGAACCAUACUUUAUUUCACAAAUUUUAUUAGUUAAUGCUUUUUUAAUUCAUGUUAUAUUCUAUCUAAAACACUCACCAAGAAUAAUUGAAAUUUAGAAUUCAAAAACUUAUAAAUCCUAUGAAAAAUUAAUUAAGUUUCCAAGACAUUCUUAAUUGACAGAACAGAAAAAUUAAUUAAGUUUCCAAAACUUGUAUUCUAACUAAAGUUUUGUUCAAAUCCAAAUUUUAGUCGAUUCAAAUCUAUAAAAAUAAAAAAUAAAAAUAAAUAACUCCAAAUUUUCUCAUCAACCCCAUCUGUUAGGAAUGAUUUCCAAAACUCUUACUAGAAAUUGCAGAUGGAGAGAUCAUGACGAUGAUUAUUUAUGGUUUGGUAAUUAUUGCAAAGAAAAGAGAACCAGUAAGGUAGAAUCAUGAGUCCCCAAUACAUAACCCAACUCUGGUGUCGCACGUGUGAAUUCCUUAGCCAACUCUCUAGCGUUAAGUUCCUAAAUCUCCUUAUGUACAUCAUUUCUCUCCAGUGUUGCUAAUAAGGUCCAUUUUCUACAUUACAGUUAAUAUGUAAAAGGCUAUAUGUAUCAGUGUUACAAUCUCAUAAGUGGCCUUUAGAAGUCUCUGUGCUUCAUCCGUAUGAGCAAUACCAUCAAUAGGCUCUCGAGAGACUUGUUUCUUUGAAGAACUUCCAUGACCGGCUUUAGUUGAAACUUGAGAGUAGUGUGUAUUGGUAUUUCGGAAAUGGACUGGUUCAGUCCCUGGAAUUCCCAAGCUUGCAGAUUUCGAUGUCUUUGGCUCCAACAUGUUGCUAUUGUUCUGUCAUUAAAACAUUAACAUUGAUUUAAAUGUUAGCGAGGUCACAUAACAAAUGCAUCCAUCUUCCUAAGGAAGAUUUUGGUGCUUAGAAGCAUAAAACAUCUAUUUGCACACCCUCAAUUUGAGUACAAAAAAUAAAUUGAGUUGCAGACCUAUGUGAACGAGUGCAAGUGCGUGUGUAAGAUCAAGAGACAGACAGUGAGAGAAAGGGAGAGAGAGACCUGAUCAAUCGAGCGAUAUUGAGGUCUUUUAAGUGAUGUAUUUGAAGCAUUUGUAUCCUUUCCUGCAUCCAAUUAACCAAAUAAAAAAGUUGGAAACAUAAGCUAGCGAAUGGACCUUGUCCGAAAACAAACAUCUUGAUUGAGUUGGUAUAUAUAUAUGUAUAUAUAUGUUACCAAGUAACACACUACUAGGUUUAGAAAUGAAACUGAACAAUGGAAUUAAAACAGAAUUUUCUAAUAAAACCGAGCACCUUCAGCAUUAUAGUGAAUCAAUUCCUCUAGAAAUUGAGAUACGUGCAUUACAUAUAUUUAUUUCCACCUUUUCUCCAAGGCAUCAAUUGGGGUGAAGGGAAUUAAUUGAAAAAUUGGAAGAUAAAUUUUUUAGGUAAAUAAAAAAAUACUUACUGCUCCCAGCUGGGCAGAACAAAGAAGGAAUCAUCUGCCUUUUCAGGCUCUAUUACAAUACCCUGCUACAGAAAGCAAACAAUCAUAACUUAUGGCAAGAGUAAAAUAAAGGGGAAAAAAAAAGAAAAAAGAAUGGUACACGAUUUUACUUUAAGAGGUUUUCCACAACAAAAUGAAAAAAGUUGGAGAAGAAUGCUAGGCAUGUCAUAUUUAUGACAGAUACAUUAUAACCAAGAAGUAAUGCACAUGCUUAGAAUGAAUUCUUGGAAAGCGUUUUGCAAAUUGUUAUUCAUCUUUAUCUGUCUUCCUACUUUAUUGAAAGCUCAAUUUUACUUCUUUAACAAAGCAACUCUUAUUUGAUUCUCCUAAGACACAAUCCGUUUUACUUCAAUUAUUUAAAAACAAUUUUCAAUAAUUUGAAAUUAUUUAGAGAACUACAAAGGCUAUUUACUGAAAUUAAACAUUACUAUUAAACUAAGAUUUUCAUAGAACAAUUCUCAGAAAAUUAUCAACAAUUUCAAAAAAUGCUAGCAGCUGGUUCCCAGUCCUCGACCCAUCAACAGAAUUCUCUCUCAUGUUCUAUUCCCCACCUCUCUUUCUCUUCUUUCUAACUUGAAAUCUCCAUAUAUAGACUACAUUUAUAUAUAAACCAUUUGAUUUCCGAACCUACCAUACAUAUCACAUUAAUGUGUCAUCAUCAACCAGAUAAAAAAAUAAAAAUAAAUAGUAAAUACUAAUAAAUAAAAAACUGAACAAACAAACAAAACAAACAUUUACACAAAAAAAUAUGAGCAAAUACCAAAAUGCAUUUCUAAUGCUUAAGGUAUGAACUUUAGGGCAUGUCCAUCAUGAGGGCACUCUCACCAUGAGCACGCCCUCUCAACAAUUGAAUUGAAAGGCUUCUCUCAAUUCAAUGUCUGACCGUAGCUUUUUCCUAAAUUUCAAAUUUCAAUUUACAAUAAAUAAUUCGUUUUAGGUCGCAUAACCAGUAGUUCCAAAAUGGAAAAACCUAAGCUGGUUAGGUGUCUUACCGGUGAACCUUGUGCAAGCAACUUGGGACAGGUUUGGCUGACCAAACUUGGAGAAAAAGCAACUUACCAGGUUUAAAAUAGCAGCGUUCCACUGAACUUCUGAAAUAAAAAGUUAGUAUUUUGAUUUUUUUUUUUUUUUUUCACAGCUCACUGUUACUCAUUAGAAGACAUUUUCAGGGAAAACUUGUCAUCUGGAUAAACAAAAUUUUAGACAACAAAACAAGCCAUUCUACAAACCUAACUGAGAGUCUGGGAUAGCUGUUAAUAUUAGGUAGCCUUGUCUAGGACUCAAUGUCACAUAAUUUCUAUUUCCAAAUCCUCCAGUAAGUAUUGUUAUAUCAAAACAUGAAAAACUGUAAAUCAGAUAACUUUUAAGACUAACUAUUUUCCAAAUAUGGUUAUCAAUAACAACAAUGGCAAUAGGUAAAGAAACAUGAGAAGUAUAGUUAAUAUCUCCCAAAUAUAAUUCUGAUCAUGCUUCUCCAAGUUAUAUUUUAUGCAUGUUUAAAUAUUUAUAAGAACCAAGGACUGUAGGUUAACAAAAACAAAAAGACCCUCCACUUCUACUUUUUACAAGUAAAAAGACCAUUUUAAGUCAAAAAUGGUAUGAAAGAUAAGAAGUGACCUCUCAAUAAGAAGUGAGAUACCAAAAUAAGCAGUAAGCAAUAAAUUUUUGGUUAGAUCUAAUCACGUGAUAUCAGAAUAAAACAGAAAGGCGAAUGAAAGCACCUUAGCCAACAAAUUAUUCAAAUUAUUCACACUGGUAGACAGCUCUUAUGAUUCUUGUAUCCUUUGCUUUGUUGUUAUAGAUACUGCCAAGAUUGCUUAAUAUUGGGUCUCUCAGCAAACUAGUUGAGGAAAUUGUACAGAAUUGUUAUUUGUAGAUGGAAGCACGUGGUUUCAAGAUGAUAAUAUUAUUAUCUUGCACUUCUUUGUGACUUGCAUGAGCUAGAAGUUGCAAUGGGCUACAUAUUCAGGUGUUAUCAUUUACGUACCGGAUUUAAUCUCUACUCACCUAUAUGACUUCUUGUCAUCUUCAGAUUUAUUAGCUUUAUCGAUGCUAUGCCAGAAAAUUGACGCAGAUUUGUUUGUUAUCAUUAUUUGGUAGGCUGACAUGAUUGUUGUCCAUCCUUCUCCUUGUCGACAGGCUAGGAUUGCGGUUGCCGUUAUAUUUUUUGUUGCCGUUAUAUUUUUUGUAUGGCUCAUGAAAAAGUUGCAUAUAUGUAAUGGAAGAGAGACUAAAACAGAGCAAGAAGAUAUAAGAAUUUUUGUUUUAUUUUGGUAUGGCAUAAGAAGUUAGAAAUUUGUAUAUGGUUAAUUUUUGUAUAAAACAAUGAUUUGGAAUUGGUUAUAUAUAUAUAUAUAUAUAUAUAUAUGAUAUUGAUUAGUUGCAAGUUA